CUGUCUCUUAUACCACAUCUCCCCGAACCCACGAGACCGAGGCUGAUCUCAAAUCAGGUAGGACUACCCGCUGAACUUAAGC
rnacentral:misc_RNA from 1 species